UCUGGUGUGAGUCUUCCCUCUGCAGGCACUGAAGUGUGUCUCGCAGCUCAAAAGGGCAGUAUCUUUAAAAACAUUUAACCUACUGAUGCCUCAAUUAAAGUAAUUUUAUUGGUAUCUAUUUUUAUUUUUGAAAUUUACCAGUAGCUGCUGCAUUUUCCACCCUCGGCUUAUACUCUAAUCAAUAAGUUUCCCUAGUUUUUUAUGGUAAAAUUGGGUGCCUUGGCUUAUAUUCGGGUUGGCUUAUACUUGUGUGUGUGUGUGUGUGUGUGUUUGUGUGUGUACACGUACACACACACGUGCGUGCACACACGGCAUUUUGAAGGCACGCACGCGCACACACACAUGGCAUUUUGAAGCCUCCCAUAACUGAACACUAAUUUUAAUUCUUUAAUGCUGCCCAGAGUACACACACACGUGCGUGCACACACGGCAUUUUGAAGCCUCCCAUAACUGAAACUAAUUUUAAUUCUUUAAUGCUGCCCAGAAAGAGGGACGUUUCUCCUACUCAUUUUUAAUAUAUAUAUUGAUUCAGUUUGGACAUGCAGGUGCCUUUAUCAGUUUCCCUUAGUAGUGUGCUAGUGUGUAGCUUGGGGAAAUACAACCUGGCUUUUUCCUUCACCCUCUAAAUAAUUUUAUUUUAUUUUAUUAUUAUUUUUUUUUAGGGAAAUCCAACAUGAAAGGUUCUCCCAAAAUGGCAGUGAAACAAAUUGAAGACUUGGUGAAUGUGAGAGAAAACAGGACUGACUAUUUGGAUCCCAGGGAUCUGGACGAUAUAUGUGGCUUAGCAAAUUACUCUGACAGUGCCCGGAGGGAUCAGAAGAAUCCAUGGCAUGGCAUGCUGCAAGAUAACGUGAGUAGGGGGCUUGCUCUGUGCCACUCCCUGCAGUGGCAUUACGAUAGGUUUUAUUACUCCUUUCCAGAGGUCUAGAGCAGGCUUGUCCAACCCGCGGCCCAAGGACCGCAUGCGGCCCAGGUCAGCUCGUAAUGCGGCCCAGGGAGAGAGGGAAGGAAGGAGUGGGAGGGGAGGGGACGGGGGGCUGCAUGACUGCAUUGCACCAUCCCCAUAAAUAGGUGGACCCCCUCCCGGCCCCAUAAAGCCACCGGAGUCAAAGCUGGCAGCCUCUGCUGUCUGAGAUCGCAGCUGCCGGUAAGUGCGCUUGGAGCGUGGCUGCGGAGGAUGGCUAGGGCUGCCCCCCCCCAUGCGGCCCAAACCGAAUUUUCAUCUUCUAAUGUGGCCCAGCGAAGGGGAAAGGGUGGACACCCCCGGGCUAGAGG
rnacentral:lncRNA from 1 species